rnacentral:rRNA from 1 species
CUCAGGACGAACGCUGGCGGCGUGCCUGACACAUGCAAGUCGAGCGGGGACAUUCAACGGAGCCAAAGUUUCGGAUGGAGGCAAAGAUGGAUGUUCUAGCGGCGGACGGGUGAGUAACGCGUGAGCAACUGUCCUUCACGAGGGGAUAACACAGCGAAAGUUGUACUAAUACCGCAUAAGACCACGGCCGGGGCAUCCCGGAGGGGUCAAAGGAGGAAUCCGGUGAAGGGUGGGCUCGCGUCCGAUUAGAUAGUUGGUGAGGUAACGGCCCACCAAGUCAACGAUCGGUAGCCGACCUGAGAGGGUGAUCGGCCACAUUGGGACUGAGACACGGCCCAAACUCCUACGGGAGGCAGCAGGUGGGGAAUAUUGGGCAAAGUGGGGGGAACCCUGACCCAGCAAACGCCGCGUGAGGGAAGAAGGUUUUCGGAUCGUAAACCUCUGUCCUUGGUGAAGAGGAAGAGACGGUAGCCAAGGAGGAAGCCCCGGCUAACUACGUGCCAGCCGCCGC